GAUGAACGCUGGCGGCGUGCCUAAUACAUGCAAGUCGAGCGAACAGACGAGGAGCUUGCUCCUCUGACGUUAGCGGCGGACGGGUGAGUAACACGUGGAUAACCUACCUAUAAGACUGGGAUAACUUCGGGAAACCGGAGCUAAUACCGGAUAAUAUAUUGAACCGCAUGGUUCAAUAGUGAAAGUCGGUUUUGCUGUCACUUAUAGAUGGAUCCGCGCCGCAUUAGCUAGUUGGUAAGGUAACGGCUUACCAAGGCAAGGAUGCGUAGCCGACCUGAGAGGGUGAUCGGCCACACUGGAACGGAGACACGGUCCAGACUCCUACGGGAGGCAGCAGUAGGGAAUCUUCCGCAAUGGGCGAGAGCCUGACGGAGCAACGCCGCGUGAGUGAUGGAGGUCUUCGGAUCGUAAAACUCUGUUAUUAGGGAAGAACAAAUGUGUAAGUAACUAUGCACGUCUUGACGGUACCUAAUCAGAAAGCCACGGCUAACUACGUG
rnacentral:rRNA from 1 species